GAGUGGCGAACUGGUGAGUAACACGUGGGAAACCUGCCCAGAAGCGGGGGAUAACACCUGGAAACAGAUGCUAAUACCGCAUAACAACUUGGACCGCAUGGUCCGAGUUUGAAAGAUGGCUUCGGCUAUCACUUCUGGAUGGUCCCGCGGCGUAUUAGCUAGAUGGUGAGGUAACGGCUCACCAUGGCAAUGAUACGUAGCCGACCUGAGAGGGUAAUCGGCCACAUUGGGACUGAGACACGGCCCAAACUCCUACGGGAGGCAGCAGUAGGGAAUCUUCCACAAUGGACGAAAGUCUGAUGGAGCAACGCCGCGUGAGUGAAGAAGGGUUUCGGCUCGUAAAACUCUGUUGUUAAAGAAGAACAUAUCUGAGAGUAACUGUUCAGGUAUUGACGGUAUUUAACCAGAAAGCCACGGCUAACUACGUGCCAGCAGCCGCGGUAAUACGUAGGUGGCAAGCGUUGUCCGGAUUUAUUGGGCGUAAAGCGAGCGCAGGCGGUUUUUUAAGUCUGAUGUGAAAGCCUUCGGCUCAACCGAAGAAGUGCAUCGGAAACUGGGAAACUUGAGUGCAGAAGAGGACAGUGGAACUCCAUGUGUAGCGGUGAAAUGCGUAGAUAUAUGGAAGAACACCAGUGGCGAAGGCGGCUGUCUGGUCUGUAACUGACGCUGAGGCUCGAAAGUAUGGGUAGCAAACAGGAUUAGAUACCCUGGUAGUCCAUACCGUAAACGAUGAAUGCUAAGUGUUGGAGGGUUUCCGCCCUUCAGUGCUGCAGCUAACGCAUUAAGCAUUCCGCCUGGGGAGUACGGCCGCAAGGCUGAAACUCAAAGGAAUUGACGGGGGCCCGCACAAGCGGUGGAGCAUGUGGUUUAAUUCGAAGCUACGCGAAGAACCUUACCAGGUCUUGACAUACUAUGCAAAUCUAAGAGAUUAGACGUUCCCUUCGGGGACAUGGAUACAGGUGGUGCAUGGUUGUCGUCAGCUCGUGUCGUGAGAUGUUGGGUUAAGUCCCGCAACGAGCGCAACCCUUAUUAUCAGUUGCCAGCAUUAAGUUGGGCACUCUGGUGAGACUGCCGGUGACAAACCGGAGGAAGGUGGGGAUGACGUCAAAUCAUCAUGCCCCUUAUGACCUGGGCUACACACGUGCUACAAUGGAUGGUACAACGAGUUGCGAACUCGCGAGAGUAAGCUAAUCUCUUAAAGCCAUUCUCAGUUCGGAUUGUAGGCUGCAACUCGCCUACAUGAAGUCGGAAUCGCUAGUAAUCGCGGAUCAGCAUGCCGCGGUGAAUACGUUCCCGGGCCUUGUACACACCGCCCGUCACACCAUGAGAGUUUGUAACACCCAAAGUCGGUGGGGUAACCUUUUAGGAACCAGCCGCCUA
rnacentral:rRNA from 1 species